rnacentral:rRNA from 1 species
GAUGAACGCUAGCGGCAGGCUUAACACAUGCAAGUCGAGGGGCAGCAUGACACGGAGAUUCGUCGAAGUGUUGAUGGCGACCGGCGCAAGGGUGCGUAACGCGUGAGCAACUUGCCCGUUUCUGGGGGAUAACCGGUGGAAACGCCGACUAAUACCCCAUAGUAUUGGAUUUAGGCAUCUUUAUCCAAUUAAAGAAUUUCGGAAACGGAUAGGCUCGCGUGACAUUAGCUAGAUGGCGGGGUAACGGCCCACCAUGGCUACGAUGUCUAGGGGUUCUGAGAGGAAGGUCCCCCACACUGGAACUGAGACACGGUCCAGACUCCUACGGGAGGCAGCAGUGAGGAAUAUUGGUCAAUGGUCGGAAGACUGAACCAGCCAUGCCGCGUGAAGGUCACGGCCCUAUGGGUCUUAAACUUCUUUUGUAAGGGAGCAAUAAGGCGUACGUGUACGUCGAUGAGAGUACCUUACGAAUAAGCAUCGGCUAACUCCGUGCCAGCAGCCGCGGUAACAC